GACGAACGCUGGCGGCGUGCUUAACACAUGCAAGUCGAACGGAAAGGCCCUGCUUUUGUGGGGUGCUCGAGUGGCGAACGGGUGAGUAACACGUGAGUAACCUGCCCUUGACUUUGGGAUAACUUCAGGAAACUGGGGCUAAUACCGGAUAGGAGCUCCUGCUGCAUGGUGGGGGUUGGAAAGUUUCGGCGGUUGGGGAUGGACUCGCGGCUUAUCAGCUUGUUGGUGGGGUAGUGGCUUACCAAGGCUUUGACGGGUAGCCGGCCUGAGAGGGUGACCGGCCACAUUGGGACUGAGAGACGGACCAGACUCCUACGGGAGGCAGCAGUGGGGAAUAUUGCACAAUGGGCGGAAGCCUGAUGCAGCAACGCCGCGUGCGGGAUGAAGGCCUUCGGGUUGUAAACCGAUUUCGCCUGUGACGAAGCGUGAGUGACGGUAAUGGGUAAAGAAGCACCGGCUAACUACGUG
rnacentral:rRNA from 1 species